rnacentral:rRNA from 1 species
CUUGAACGCUGGCGGCAUGCUUUACACAUGCAAGUCGAACGGUAACAGGUUAAGCUGACGAGUGGCGAACGGGUGAGUAGUGCAUCGGAACGUGCCCGAUCGUGGGGGAUAACGCAGCGAAAGCUGCGCUAAUACCGCAUACGAUCUGAGGAUGGAAGCGGGGGACCGUAAGGCCUCGCGCGAUCGGAGCGGCCGAUGUCAGAUUAGGUAGUUGGUGGGGUAAAGGCCCACCAAGCCGACGAUCUGUAGCUGGUCUGAGAGGACGACCAGUCACACUGGGACUGAGACACGGCCCAGACUCCUACGGGAGGCAGCAGUGGGGAAUUUUGGACAAUGGGCGAAAGCCUGAUCCAGCAAUGCCGCGUGCAGGAAGAAGGCCUUCGGGUUGUAAACUGCCUUUGUACGGAGCGAAAAGGUCCUUUCUAAUACAAGGGGCUCAUGACGGUACCGUAAGAAUAAGCACCGGCUAACUACGUGCCAGCCGCCGCGGUAAUAC